rnacentral:rRNA from 1 species
ACGUUGGCGGCGUGGAUUAGGCAUGCAAGUCGAGCGAGAAGGUUCCUUCGGGAACUGGACAGCGGCGAAAGGGAGAGUAACGCGUAGAUAUCUGCCUCGAGGCCCGGGAUAGCGGCGGGAAACUGCCGGUAAUACCGGAUAACAUCUCCGGAUCAAAGGUGUGAUUCCGCCUCGAGAUGAGUCUGCGUCCUAUUAAUGCUUGUUGGUGUGGUAACGGCGCACCAAGGCGAAGAUGGGUACCGGGUGUGAGAGCAUGGCCCGGCUCACUGGGACUGAGACACUGCCCAGACACCUACGGGUGGCUGCAGUCGAGAAUCUUCGGCAAUGGGCGAAAGCCUGACCGAGCGACGCCGCGUGCGGGAUGAAGGCCCUCGGGUUGUAAACCGCUGUCAGUAGGGAGCAAAUCUCUUGGGGUUAUCCCCUUGAGUUGAGCGAUCUUCAGAGGAAGUACGGGCUAAGUUCGUGCCAGCAGCCGCGGUAAGACGAACCGUACGAACGUUAUUCGGAAUCACUGGGCUUAAAGAGUCCGUAGGCGGCCGUGUAGGUGGGAUGUGAAAGCCCUCGUCUCAACCGAGGAAUUGCGUUCCAAACCACAUGGCUUGAGGAGGAUAGAGGUGAGCGGAACUGAUGGUGGAGCGGUGAAAUGCGUUGAUAUCAUCAGGAACACCAGAGGCGAAGGCGGCUCACUGGGUCCUUUCUGACGCUGAGGGACGAAAGCUAGGGGAGCAAACGGGAUUAGAUACCCCGGUAGUCCUAGCUGUAAACGAUGAGCACUAGAUCGAGGGGACUUCCACAUCUUCUCGGUCGUAGCGAAAGUGUUAAGUGCUCCGCCUGGGGAGUAUGUCGCAAGGCUAAACUU